UUUCAGAGUGAGAAGGUAGAAUCUUUUGUGGAAGCAAAUAUCAAUGAUAGUGGUUGUUGUGGUGGGAGUAUAAUGAUAAUGUACAUGAUGUAUGAUAAUAAUAAAAAAAAAAAACACAGCAUAUAUAACCAUUUUUGGUUGCUUGAAGAAAUUAUUUUGAUUAAAAAUUGUUCUUAAAAAACACACAACAAGGUAACCAAACAUGUUUUUUUUUUUCUUUUAGAAAAGGAAAUAAAGAAAUAGAAAGUCAAAAUGAUACUGAACAUUACCUAAAGUUUUCUAUUAAAAUGGAUCUAGAGCUCAAUGGCGCGGAGUUCUUGAAAGCCAUGAAUCUACAAUGGACUGGUUGAGGAACAUGUCGUUGUGGAGCUUGUGGUUCCCUUCGAAUAUGAAAAUGAGAACGGGCUGGGCUAAGAUAAUAAUCAAUCCGACCCUCGCGAACGUGGACAGCUCAAAUCACACAUCAGAUACUUUUCGGAAAGCAGGAUGAUUAUGCAUGCCAUGGAACCACACAAAAGCGGUUAUGCUAGCACAACUUAUCAUAGAAUCAUAUUCCAAAUGAGAUGCAAGACCAAAAAAACGCCAACUUUCGUACAAAAUUACCUUGAGAACUCAUCAUGUAUAGGCAGCAGCUAUUGAAGUCUCAAUCGAGGAAAACAUACAACAAAAAUUCAAACAUCCUCAUAUCAUAUGCGACAGUCUUUAACAAAGUAAGAUCCAAGGUGGCAGCUCCUCCACAAUUAAUUCAUCUAGGUAGAACAAAAGCUUUAUUGAAAAAUUAACGCUGCCGGCUGCUGGUUUGGAAGGUGAAUGGGCUCUCUGUUAUUACACGCCAGUGUAGGGGGUGGGGGGGAAAGCGCAUCUAAGAGAGACACGAGUAUGCAAGAGCCUUCUCCUCGGAA
rnacentral:lncRNA from 1 species